UGAGCAAUCUGCCCUUCACAUCGGAAUAACCAUUGGAAACGAUGGCUAAUACCGAAUAUGACUUCGGAUCGCAUGAUCUGAAGUGGAAAGCUCCGGCGGUGAAGGAUGAGCUCGCGGCCUAUCAGCUUGUUGGUGAGGUAAUGGCUCACCAAGGCGACGACGGGUAGCCGGCCUGAGGAGGGUCGACCGGCCACACGUGGGACUGAGACACGGCCCAGACCUCCG
rnacentral:rRNA from 1 species